UACGGGGGGAGCAAGCGUUGUUCGGAUUUACUGGGCGUAAAGGGCGUGUAGGCGGUUCGGUAAGUGGAAUGUGAAAUCCCUCGGCUCACCCGAGGACCUGCAUCCCAAACUGCCGAGCUUGAGUAUGGGAGAGGAUGAGGGAAUUCCUGGUGUAGCGGUGAAAUGCGUAGAUAUCAGGAGGAACACUGGUGGCGAAGGCGGAUCUCUGGGCCAUUACUGACGCUGAGGAGCGAAAGCGUGGGGAGCGAACAGG
rnacentral:rRNA from 1 species